UACGUAGGAUGCAAGCGUUGUCCGGAUUUACUGGGCGUAAAGCGCGCGCAGGCGGCAAGGUAAGUAAGGUGUGAAAUAUCCCGGCUCAACCGGGAGGGUGCACUUUAGACUGCUUUGCUUGAGGUCGGUAGAGGGGGGUGGAAUUGCUGGUGUAGCGGUGAAAUGCGUAGAUAUCUGGAGGAACACCGGUGGCGAAGGCGGCAUCCUGGACCGGCAUUGACGCUGAGGCGCGAAAGCUAGGGGAGCAAACGGG
rnacentral:rRNA from 1 species